GACGAACGCUGGCGGCGUGCUUAACACAUGCAAGUCGAGCGAUGAAGCUCCUUCGGGAGUGGAUUAGCGGCGGACGGGUGAGUAACACGUGGGUAACCUGCCUCAUAGAGGGGAAUAGCCUUCCGAAAGGAAGAUUAAUACCGCAUAAGAUUGUAGUACCGCAUGGUACAGCAAUUAAAGGAGUAAUCCGCUAUGAGAUGGACCCGCGUCGCAUUAGCUAGUUGGUGAGGUAACGGCUCACCAAGGCGACGAUGCGUAGCCGACCUGAGAGGGUGAUCGGCCACAUUGGGACUGAGACACGGCCCAGACUCCUACGGGAGGCAGCAGUGGGGAAUAUUGCACAAUGGGGGAAACCCUGAUGCAGCAACGCCGCGUGAGUGAUGACGGUCUUCGGAUUGUAAAACUCUGUCUUCAGGGACGAUAAUGACGGUACCUGAGGAGGAAGCCACGGCUAACUACGUGCCAGCAGCCGCCGUAA
rnacentral:rRNA from 1 species